GCAACUCGAAUAGAGUAGGUACAAACACGCGAAUGUUUGGUAUUAUCAUCGUGAUCAUCAUCUCGUCGCUCUCCUCACACUUCGAGAUUCUUCAUUUCAUUUGUUGAAAUUUAAAUAUACGUCCGAUGAAUGUCAUUUUGCCUACGGCACUCGAUUCUUGGCCAAUACGCCUCAUCGGGUAUAUAUGCGCCAUAGUUUGAGGCCAUAGCCGCCAUGAUUCCUAUUUAAUGGGUUGCACUAGUUCAUAUAGAGUGAAGCAACCAUUCAACGUAUUGAUGCAUCUCUAGUGCGGGUGAGGACGAUGACGACAAGAACAGAUAUCCGCAUUUAAAGGGGUCCCGAAACACCUUUUCAAGUAAUCAUCAAAUAACCUUAGUAUCGGAGUUUAUGGCCUCACGAAUCGAUCGCCGCAAAAUUUUCUCGAAUCCGUCAAGAAUGAGCGAAGCUACAGGGGUCUGUCGCACGCUUUAAGCGCCUUCUCUCUUCUCUCGUCCCGAUGAGCGCGCUGGAAGCUAGGCAGGGGGAGAUACGGGGCAAAGAAUUUACGUCAGCGCGCGUCGUGAACUGGAGCAUCAUGAAACGCGCACGCUAAUUACUGGCAUGAUUCCGGUGCGCGCUAGUGUUGCUACUGUGUAAUUUUAGCAAACUAUAGAGCACGGCCCCGCCACGUGGCGGCACCCCGUGGCAAAACGCGCAUCCGAUCCAAACGCCGCUCUUGAUUAAUGUCAGCCAUCGGUCAAUAGCAGCAACCUAUUCUCUGAAGAAAUAGAGCUAGCACCGGCCUCUCCGAAGAGAGUGAGGACGGGCCUCUGAGUUACGAAGAGAGGGCACUUGAGAAAGUGGCAACUUCACACUGUACUUGUUCUCCUUGCCGCGUACGACUUCAAGAUUUGGCUGAGCUGUUCACAGCAGCGCCUGCUCUCCGCUGUGUGUGUGUGUUUUUAACAAAGCACUAGGGGUGGUUAGGACCCCUUUAAGGAAGGCAUAACAGUCAAAUUACCGCCUCUGUCCCUGUUGACGAGUGCUUCUAGCCUUUUGUUUUUGAGGUUGCGAAGAUGCAUUCCUUUAAGUGCCACCAGCUGUCUCGAUAGGGCAUGGAUCUUAAUUCAUUUUAAUACUUAGGAAUUCUCUUACCUUUUAAUUUUUUUGUAAAUAACGUAUCUCAUUCUAAAAAAAAAAAAGACAUACUAAUGUUAGAUAUAGAUAGUCUACCUAACUUUUUUGUCGAAUUCCCUCUUUUUCUUUUUUUUUAUAUUUUCUCCUAUAAGUCUUAUUUCUCCGGUUUUGUUAAAACCAUCGACUUCGUUGCCCAUCCCCCGUUGUGGGCAUGCGCCAUGGUGCUUACAAGGUGCAAGCCGGCAGGUAUGACAUCAAACAUCUUGGAACUCUUCUGCUCUCUGGGCAAGUAUACCAGACAGCAGCAAUUCGGCUGCCGCUGCUUUUUAGAUCGUAGGCUGUAUGCUUCAUCCGAAGUCAUACUGUCGCUACUGCAUGUCUUCUACACUGUCUUCAGUCGAUCAAACCCACGAAUGCUUGCCUCCUCCGGUGGAAUCCUGCGCUUGCAUGGUCAUGUACGAACAAAUAUGUAGGGGCGUAGCCAUAGGCGUGCAAGGGCAAUCAGUGGCAAUAUGUCAUAUGGUUCCGAAAGUGACAAAGAAUACCUCACAUAAAAAAAAACAAUCAAUAGACGAUUUCUUAGGCCCUCCUUAAAGCCAGUGAGGAAACUAAGCCGCUAGAGGUAGAAGUGAUUAGAGGAGCCCAGACGGUACGAUUCCUGGCACGCUAUUUUCGUCGCCGUCGUUGUUGCCUCAAUAAAAGGCUAGCGGGGAUUUGACACACUGUAGCUAAUAAUGUGCAUGAACCAUGGAGUAAAUGAAACAAUACUAGCCAUGAAAAAAGAAAAAGUAACCAUGAAAAGUGGUGCAGACGAAAUGCAUAUAGCGAAUUUCCACCCAGAAAGAAGCGAAUAAAAUUUA